GUGAUUUAGAAGAUAUCAAAUUUGAGUGCUUUGUGCCAGAAGUUUUAUUGCCUCCUUUAAUUGGAUUUGGGUAUAGGUAAACCUGUGAGUUCGUAAAAGUAAACAUGAGUCUUCAAAAGCUAGGAAGUGAGUGUGUGACGCAGUACAUAUCAAGAAUCUUGCACAUCAUUGACAUUAUUGAGUUAAGAGUUGGCUUACUCGUGAUGGCGAGCUUUAAUAGAGGUUCAUGUGGAGAAUGGCAAAUCAACCCUGAAUGACAUAGAAGAUAUUUAACAUCUAAGCUAGUAGGUCUGUGGUGGUACAGCAAGAAAACUGUCAGAUUUUGCAGAGUUAAACUGAUGGACAUCUAAUUGCAAAUCUUCAGGAACCUAAGUCUGUUCAAUUGACAAUACAUUUUUAACUAAAAAUAAUAAUGUAUUGUAGUAAAAUAAAAAUGCAAAGUCAGGAUUUAAAAAUUCAAAGUGGAAACUAACCUACCUCAGAUCAGAGCAGUAAAAGCCAGAGCAAAGUAAUACCCCGUUAUCAGACGAUAAUGAAGGGAUUACUCAUAUCUGUCGUCAGACAUGGAAUGUCCAAAGAAAUUGCUCGGAUUUAGUCCUUUCAAAAAUGGGGUGACCAAUAGCAUUUGCAAGUUGUGAAAAUUAUAGUUAUCUCACUCCUUUACUGACAAGAUAUGGGAAGCAAGAAAAGUGGUCACAGGGGACUUAACAUACAAACUGCUGAAUAAAGGACAAGCCUUAAGAAUAUCCACAUGAGAAGACAGAAUGAGUAAAGUACUUGUCAUACCAUUUCCUUACCAUGGGUUAAGGCAAGAGUUAAAGCAAGGAAUAAAGGAUGACAUGAAUUGGUCAUGCAUUUCCCUUCCAUGGGUUACAGAAAGGGUUAAAGCAAGGAAUAACUGAUACCGUGAAUUUAAUUCCUGUUGCACCUAUUACACAGACUUUUGUCUGAGAAGGAACCUUAAGUCUAAAACACCAAAGUUAGAUUAGGCAGAAGACAAUAGCGUCUGUUAAGGUCAGUAGUCAGCAUGCUAAAAUUAUGACUUAGGUUCACCAUAUAUUUUUUGCAGGGGAGUAUAAAUGAAUGCAACACUAUGCAAGGAAUUAAAUUUUCUUUGUCCUGAGAAAGUUGACUUAGCAAAGUACUUGAGGUUCAACAUUAAAGAGGAGGGUUCAGCAAGAUUUACAUAGAUGGUGUUGGAAAUUUCCAUCUAAGCAAAGGAGACACUAAGAAAGUAAGAAGAGAUAAAAAGUCGGAACAACUUUGAUGACUACAGGGACUCAUAAACCACACGAUUCAGAAAAGGGAACAGGGAACAGCCCAAGAGAAUAGCUCAUUUUUGUCCUGUAAGAAGGAUACAAGUUUAUCAAGAUCAGCAAUAGGCCUACGACUAGACGAAACAAGAGCUAUAUUCAUCAGAAACACUAAAUAAACAGUUG